AAAUUGUAAGUUGGGUGGACAUAUUUUGAGCCCAGUGUUGAGUUUACUUUUAAAAAUGAGUUAACUGAAGGUUUAAAACUGGUUUGUUCAAUGAAAGUAAAUACUUAAGUUGAGCAGACUUUACAUUUUGAGUUCUUCACUCGAUCAUUUACUUCCCGUCUUUGCACAUGCUCAGUCUGUCUUCGGGUGCCAUUUUGCACGAGGUGUCCUCUCACCAGCAGCAGCUGCCAUCUCCUGAUUCAGGUUUGGAAUGCAGUAUAAGUUUUGCAAAUUUGUAAACAGUAGCUGAGAAGUUACACUACAGACUACAUCGCUAUCAAGGACCAUCCUGGCAGCAGCACUUUAAAGACUCUGAUGUCCGAAAACAGUGGCCUGCAUGUUUUUGGGAGUUUAGG